rnacentral:rRNA from 1 species
GACGAACGCUGGCGGCGUGCUUAACACAUGCAAGUCGAACGAUGAAGCCGGAGCUUGCUCUGGUGAAUUAGUGGCGAACGGGUGAGUAACACGUGAGUAACCUGCCCUUGACUCUGGGAUAACUGCGGGAAACUGUAGCUAAUACCGGAUACGACCCUCGGAGGCAUCUCCUGGGGGUGGAAAGCAUUUAGGUCAAGGAUGGACUCGCGGCCUAUCAGCUAGUUGGUGAGGUAAAGGCUCACCAAGGCGACGACGGGUAGCCGGCCUGAGAGGGUGACCGGCCACACUGGGACUGAGACACGGCCCAGACUCCUACGGGAGGCAGCAGUGGGGAAUAUUGCACAAUGGGCGCAAGCCUGAUGCAGCAACGCCGCGUGAGGGGUGACGGCCUUCGGGUUGUAAACCUCUUUUAGCAGGGAAGAAGCGAAAGUGACGGUACCUGCAGAAAAAGCACCGGCUAACUACGUGCCAGCCGCCGCCGUAA